rnacentral:lncRNA from 1 species
CUGGAGAAUUUCAUAAAAGGUAUCAAAAGCCCCCUCACUUUUGUUCCUAAGUCCGCUAUCUGUUUCCUUUCUGUUAAAUUCAAUUAUGUUCAUGUCUCUGGCCUCAAACCACAAUUAUUCUACCCCUUUGCUACAAUGCAUUUUCUUUGUAAAAGUCAAAUCAAAUUAUCAAAUUAAAAAUUUGCACCGCUUCAAACAUAAAAUAAAUGUAACUGCUUAUAGACCAUUAUUAUUCUAACAAAAAUAA